rnacentral:other from 4 species
AGUUCGUUGCACUGGCGUUAUGACUUAUGCGCCUGGGCCGAUGAAUACUGAUCGGGAGUUUGUCUAUCCGGGUUGUGUGAAUCCCUUCAUUGGGAUACCUGAUACUCAGGAUGCGGCGCCCACCUUUUUCGCGAGGGUUCAGUACACAUAGGUCAUAACGCCAGUGCAGCGACCAG